rnacentral:tRNA from 1 species
GGGCUUGCCGACGGGUCGGCACUUGGAUUUGCAAUCCAGGUCACAGGGUUCAACUCCCUGCAGGUCCA